UUUCACCACUGCCUGCCUUGCUCUGUCAGUUUAAAGAAAAGAUGAUAAUGGGCCUUCUUCCCGUUUUACAGCACAGCUGUCAUCAAAACGUGGAAGCUGUUUCUGAAGGCAGUUCUAGAGCGCAGCAAGGAAAAGGCAAAGUCAAGGCUUUCACGGACAUCUCCGAGCCCCAGUGACACACCUUGGCACCAAGUCCUGAACACGUCCCAACUCCCCGUUUGUUGCCAGAUGCUCCGCAGGCCAAACUCCCGCAGGGUAUUUCACCUUGGAAGCAGCCGACAUCUACUUAAACAAGAAAAAAAAUCAUCACAAAGAUAUAGGAUGGCUCAAAAGAAAUGGCCACCAAGCCCUGAGAAGACAAGGAGGGACCUUAACUGCUACCACUGAGUGAAAGGAACCAAUCUGAAGAGGACACGGACCACAGGAUUCCAACCGUGUAACCUCUGGAGAAGGCAAAACCGGAGACAGUGAGAAGACUGGUGGUUGGCGGGAGAGAUGAGCGCAUGGGGCACAGAUCUGGGGGGACGUGAGGCUCUUCUGCACGAUAUCCUAAUGGUGGCACCUGUCAGUGUACACUUGCCAGAGUCUAUUGGGUGUUCGUCGCCAAGGGUGAGCUCUGGGCUGUGAGGAUGCGUCCGAGUCAGUUCUGCGUUUUCCCCUCCCUCCCCCAGCCCGGGCACCCGUCCUAGCAAACCCCUCAAUGCCAGUCUCCAGCUUAGAUUCUGGAGAAAGCGCCGAUAUUUCCCGGUCACAGCUGUUGCCAAUAUCCUGAAAUAGUGUACCUGCUCGUCCCUAUUUCGAUGUUACAGUCAUUAUUAGCCUGCCGGGUCUUGUUACCCAGUACAUGACUAUAAAUAUAUAUUACUAUGUUAAAACCCGCUUUUAAUAUUCUCCUACCUGUAUUUCAGUAUCACUGGGGCUUUUUGGCAUCUCAUAGAUUUUAUUUCAUGGGUGCAGAGGAUGGCAAAAUGGGUCACCCCAGAAUAUGCCGCUUCGAUAUAAGGAUGAUUUUGAGCUAAAGGCUCUUGAGAAACGGCAGGUGCAAGAAGUCUCUGGCUUCCCCUCCU
rnacentral:lncRNA from 1 species